CUUUAUUCUGGCUCAGGAUGAACGCUAGCUACAGGCUUAACACCUGCAAGUCGAGGGGCAGCGGGAUUGAAGCUUGCUUCAAUUGCCGGCGACCGGCGCACGGGUGAGUAACGCGUAUCCCACCUUCCGUACACUCAGGGAUAGCCUUUCGAAAGAAAGAUUAAUACCUGAUGGUAUGAUGAGAUUGCAUGAUAGCAUCAUUAAAGAUUUAUCGGUGUACGAUGGGGAUGCGUUCCAUUAGGUAGUAGGCGGGGUAACGGCCCACCUAGCCAACGAUGGAUAGGGGUUCUGAGAGGAAGGUCCCCCACAUUGGAACUGAGACACGGUCCAAACUCCUACGGGAGGCAGCAGUGAGGAAUAUUGGUCAAUGGACGAGAGUCUGAACCAGCCAAGUAGCGUGAAGGAUGAAGGUCCUACGGAUUGUAAACUUCUUUUAUAAGGGAAUAAACCCUCCCACGUGUGGGAGCUUGUAUGUACCUUAUGAAUAAGCAUCGGCUAACUCCGUGCCAGCAGCCGCGGUAAUACGGAGGAUGCGAGCGUUAUCCGGAUUUAUUGGGUUUAAAGGGAGCGCAGACGGGUCGUUAAGUCAGCUGUGAAAGUUUGGGGCUCAACCUUAAAAUUGCAGUUGAUACUGGCGUCCUUGAGUGCGGUUGAGGUGUGCGGAAUUCGUGGUGUAGCGGUGAAAUGCUUAGAUAUCACGAAGAACUCCGAUUGCGAAGGCAGCACACUAAUCCGUAACUGACGUUCAUGCUCGAAAGUGUGGGUAUCAAACAGGAUUAGAUACCCUGGUAGUCCACACGGUAAACGAUGGAUACUCGCUGUUGGCGAUAUACUGUCAGCGGCUUAGCGAAAGCGUUAAGUAUCCCACCUGGGGAGUACGCCGGCAACGGUGCAACUCAAAGGAAUUGACGGA
rnacentral:rRNA from 2 species